GCCUGGGUGGCUCAGUCGGUUAAGCUUCUGACUUCAGCUCAGGUCAUGAUCUCAAAGUUCGUGGGUUCGAGCCCUGUGUCGGGCU
rnacentral:tRNA from 1 species